UUUCGGGGUUCCUGGGUGUCACACAUAUCUUGGUGGAACCUCCAAAUGAUAGAACCUAGUAGGGAAACCCCCAAUCAAUUCCCGAUUCAGUGUGCACCCAAAAAAUCAUGAAAAAGA
rnacentral:pre_miRNA from 7 species